rnacentral:rRNA from 1 species
GUGCCAGCAGCCGCGGUAAUACGAAGGGGGCUAGCGUUGCUCGGAAUUACUGGGCGUAAAGCGCACGUAGGCGGCUCUUUAAGUCGGGGGUGAAAUCCUGGAGCUCAACUCCAGAACUGCCUUCGAUACUGUAGAGCUUGAGUUCGGGAGAGGUGAGUGGAACUGCGAGUGUAGAGGUGAAAUUCGUAGAUAUUCGCAAGAACACCAGUGGCGAAGGCGGCUCACUGGCCCGAUACUGACGCUGAGGUGCGAAAGCGUGGGGAGCAAACAGGAUUAGAAACCCUCGUAGUCC